rnacentral:rRNA from 1 species
GACGAACGCUGGCGGCGUGCCCAACACAUGCAAGUCGAGCGAAUGAAGUUCCUUCGGGAAUGGAUUUAGCGGCGGACGGGUGAGUAACACGUGGGCAACCUGCCUCAUAGAGGGGAAUAGCCUCCCGAAAGGGAGAUUAAUACCGCAUAAGAUUGUAGUACCGCAUGAUACAGCAAUUAAAGGAGCAAUCCGCUAUGAGAUGGGCCCGCGGCGCAUUAGCUAGUUGGUGAGGUAAUGGCUCACCAAGGCGACGAUGCGUAGCCGACCUGAGAGGGUGAUCGGCCACAUUGGGACUGAGACACGGCCCAGACUCCUACGGGAGGCAGCAGUGGGGAAUAUUGCACAAUGGGGGAAACCCUGAUGCAGCAACGCCGCGUGAGUGAUGACGGCCUUCGGGUUGUAAAGCUCUGUCUUCAGGGACGAUAAUGACGGUACCUGAGGAGGAAGCCACGGCUAACUACGUG